UCCAGGUUUACCCUGACCCUCCUGGCUAGUGAACCCCAAAGGGGGAAUAGCUCCGAGGGCCAGGACCGUCCCCUCCGGCUCUUGGGGCCUCGGCGCCCCCGCCUCGUUCGCUGGGGGAUCUGGCAUCUUCCCCCUCGUCUCCUGCCCCCCUUCCUCGUGGGAGAGCUCGCCCUCUUCGCGGCUUGAGGGGGUGGCGACUUGGGCCUCGCUGACCUAGGGGUCGACUGGGCCCCCCUCUUCAUGGCCUUCAGGGGAGCAAGUCCCACUGAAGCCACCUUGUGCUUCCGGCUGAAAGGGUAACGACGCGAAUUAAAAGAAAGAGAAAAACAAAAAAUCAAAAGAAAGAUCAAAAAGCUAGUACAUACCUUGCUCGGGGGGGCAGCACUCUUGUGGGAGCUUGG
rnacentral:lncRNA from 1 species